GAUGAACGCUGGCGGCGUGCCUAAUACAUGCAAGUCGAGCGAACGGACGAGAAGCUUGCUUCUCUGAUGUUAGCGGCGGACGGGUGAGUAACACGUGGAUAACCUACCUAUAAGACUGGGAUAACUUCGGGAAACCGGAGCUAAUACCGGAUAAUAUUUUGAACCGCAUGGUUCAAAAGUGAAAGACGGUCUUGCUGUCACUUAUAGAUGGAUCCGCGCUGCAUUAGCUAGUUGGUAAGGUAACGGCUUACCAAGGCAACGAUGCAUAGCCGCCCUGAGAGUGGGGUCGCCCACACUGGACGGGAGACAGGGCCAAGACUCCAGGGGAAGGCGCGAGGGGGGACUCUCCCGGAAGGGGCGAAACCCUAAGGGAGAACCGCCGGGGGGUGAAUAAAGUUUUUGGACUCUAAAAACUUUGUUAUAAGGAAAAAACAUAUGUGAAAUUACCUGGCAACUUCUUGACGGUCCCUAAUAAGAAAGCCAGGGCAAACUACGUG
rnacentral:rRNA from 1 species